UUUGCAAUUUCAGUGAUUAGAUGAUAUAUGGGAAACUUCUAAAAGCGUAAUUCUGCUGUAAAUGUGAAUAUGUAUACAGUCUGAUUUCAAAGUACACACCUGGAAACAUCUAGAAUCUUCUGUAUGGUUCAUUCUUGCUCAUAUGAGUGCUUAUUUAAGUUCACUAUGAUGUUAAUGAUACAUCAAAUUCCUAACAUCUUUUUUUGUGUGUGUUUACAGUGAUUUCAAAUGUCCCCACUUAUUUGAGACUGCAGUUCUGAGCCCACCUUGCCUCCUUUCAAGUCUCUGGUCUACAUGGCUGCAUUGUGCCACAAUUAAUUGAUGACCUUUGGCACAGAAAUCUGUUGCCCUGGCUAUUGGCGACAUUUUACAUUUCUUAAAAAUGAAAUAAUUACCCACAAAGGAAACUUAAUACCCCCAACUUCCUUUUCUUUAACCCAUUUUAACUUCUAUCAGGUAAAUUAAGUAAAUUUGCAGAACCACAAAUUUCUAUUCUUACAAAAGUGGAAACUGAGGCACGGAUCUAGUUCUGUCUCUGAAAAAAACCUGGUGUCACAAAUGUUCCCAUUUCUGAGGGUGGAGUGCUGAGGGACCUGAUGAGUCCUCUGUUUCCUUCAUGGAAGCCUCCCAAUAUUGCCUUUUAUAUUUAAUUUAUGAGAAUUUUGCUCAUUAGGAUGGUGUUUGCUUUGAAAUCAAUGCUGCUGUGGAAACCAAUUUUAACUUUUACAAAUCUUGCUUAUGGACUUGUGGAGGGGUGGAAAAGAGGAGGGGUGAAGAAAUGGAGGGGUGGAGAAUUUCGGGGAGGGGGAGUGUUGAACUGAAUAGGGUGUGAAUGCCUUUCUAUCUGGGCACCAAAACAGAAACAAUAUGGAGAAAAAGAACAAGAUUUUUUUAAAAAUUAGAUUGUUGUGGGAGGAGGGGAAAAACCAUUCCCACAGGGAAUACGGGCUGAACAUUUGCAGAAACUUGGUGGAAAUGGGGUGGGGCUGGAGGGUCCUCCAAAUACUACCUAUGAAAGAAAG
rnacentral:lncRNA from 1 species